UUAUGUUGUCUGUAUGAUGUUGGUAAGUUAUUUGUGGUUUUAAUUCCAGGUGACAGGCUCUCAGGCUCUUGUUGAUGGUGUGCUGCUUGAACCAGCCAGAACUUUGCAGGACUCUUACCCUGAUGAUAGCAUCAAACAAGAUGCCAGCCUACAGGUGACAGGCUCUCAGGCACCUGUUGAUGGCGCGCUGC